rnacentral:rRNA from 1 species
GACGAACGCUGGCGGCGUGCUUAACACAUGCAAGUCGAACGGAAAGGCCCUGCUUUUGUGGGGUGCUCGAGUGGCGAACGGGUGAGUAACACGUGAGUAACCUGCCCUUGACUUUGGGAUAACUUCAGGAAACGGGGGCUAAUACCGGAUAGGAGCUCCUGCUGCAUGGUGGGGGUUGGAAAGUUUCGGCGGUUGGGGAUGGACUCGCGGCUUAUCAGCUUGUUGGUGGGGUAGUGGCUUACCAAGGCUUUGACGGGUAGCCGGCCUGAGAGGGUGACCGGCCACAUUGGGACUGAGAUACGGCCCAGACUACUACGGGAGGCAACGGUGGAGAAUAUUGCACAAUGGGCGGAAGCCUGAUGCAGCAACGCCACGUGCGGGAUGACGGCCUUCGGGUUGUAAACCGCUUUCGCCUGUGACGAAGCGUGAGUGACGGUAAUGGGUAAAGAAGCACCGGCUAACUACGUG